rnacentral:rRNA from 1 species
ACUCCUACGGGAGGCAGCAGUGGGGAAUAUUGCACAAUGGGCGCAAGCCUGAUGCAGCCAUGCCGCGUGUGUGAAGAAGGCCUUCGGGUUGUAAAGCACUUUCAGUUGUGAGGAAGGUGGUGUCGUUAAUAGCGGCAUCAUUUGACGUUAGCAACAGAAGAAGCACCGGCUAACUCCGUGCCAGCAGCCGCGGUAAUACGGAGGGUGCGAGCGUUAAUCGGAAUUACUGGGCGUAAAGCGCAUGCAGGUGGUUUGUUAAGUCAGAUGUGAAAGCCCGGGGCUCAACCUCGGAACUGCAUUUGAAACUGGCAGACUAGAGGUACUGUAGAGGGGGGUAGAAUUUCAGGUGUAGCGGUGAAAUGCGUAGAGAUCUGAAGGAAUAACCGGUGGCGAAGGCGGCCCCCUGGACAAAGACUAGACGCUCAGAUGCGAAAGCGUAGGGGAGCAAACAGGAUUAGAUA